CCUACGGGGGGCAGCAGUGAGGAAUAUUGGUCAAUGGACGAGAGUCUGAACCAGCCAAGUAGCGUGAAGGAUGACUGCCCUAUGGGUUGUAACCUUCUUUUAUAAAGGAAUAAAACGAGGCACGUGUGCCUUUUUGCAUGUACUUUAUGAAUAAGGAUCGGCUAACUCCGUGCCAGCAGCCGCGGUAAUACGGAGGAUCCGAGCGUUAUCCGGAUUUAUUGGGUUUAAAGGGAGCGUAGAUGGGUUGUUAAGUCAGUUGUGAAAGUUUGCGGCUCAACCGUAAAAUUGCAAUUGAUACUGGCAGUCUUGAGUACAGUUGAGGUAAGCGGAAUUCGUGGUGUAGCGGUGAAAUGCUUAGAUAUCACGAAGAACCCCGAUUGCGAAGGCAGCUUACUAAACUGUGACUGACAUUGAUGCUCGAAAGUGUGGGUAUCAAACAGGAUUAGAUACCCUUGUAGUC
rnacentral:rRNA from 1 species